AUGACCUCUUUGCCCAAAUCUCUGCGUUUGAUCAGAGAUUGGAGAUGUUGGGCGAUGCUUCCUCUGGUGGCUUUCAUACCUCUGCAAACGCUGCCUACAGAGGCCGCGACCAAGCUCGUGGGAAACCCUACCGUGGGCGAGGCACAAGGGGGCGGGGACGUGGAGAUCGGCAGCCGUCCCCUGCUCGCGGUGGGAACAGCUACAGAGGACGCCAGCGACAGGACCAACCUCAACAGGCGCAUGAUCAAUAGCAGCGCGACAACCCCGAGUGCCAAAUAUGCCUCAAGUAUCAUCCGGGGGGGGCGGCUCUGCUGGUGGCGCUAUGAAGAUGGAGAACCAGAAGAAAAGGCAGCGCAUGCAGCCACCUACGGCGUAGAUACCAACUGGUACGCCGACACGGGAGCCACAAAUCAUAUCACAGGAGAACUUGAUCAGCUGACGAUGCGGGAGAAGUACAACGGAGGCGAUCAAAUCCACACGGCAAGCGAUUCUGGAUCUGGCCACACGGAGAAUCAUUCUUAG
rnacentral:rRNA from 1 species